rnacentral:rRNA from 1 species
UACGAACUGCGCGAACGUUAUUCGGAAUCACUGGGCUUACAGGGUGCGUAGGCGGUCUGGCAGGUCAGAUGUGAAAUCCCACAGCUCAACUGUGGAACUGCAUUUGAAACCUUCAGACUUGAGUAGACUAGAGGCAUACGGAACUUCCGGUGGAGCGGUGAAAUGUGUUGAGAUCGGAAGGAACACCAGAGGCGAAAGCGGUAUGCUGGAGUCUGUCUGACGCUGAGGCACGAAAGCCAGGGGAGCGAACGGG